rnacentral:rRNA from 1 species
UACGUAGGGGGCUAGCGUUGUCCGGAAUCAUUGGGCGUAAAGAGCGUGUAGGCGGUCCGGUAAGUCCGCUGUGAAAGUCGGGGGCUCAACCCUCGAAUGCCGGUGGAUACUGUCGGGCUAGAGUGCGGAAGAGGCGAGUGGAGUUCCUGGUGUAGCGGUGAAAUGCGCAGAUAUCAGGAGGAACACCUAUUGCGAAGGCAGCUCGCUGGGACGUAACUGACGCUGAGACGCGAAAGCGUGGGGAGCAAACAGG